GCACUGUAUGAAGAUGAUUAGCACUCCACUUGGCAAAGAUGGAAGAGGUCCUCAGGCCUAACAGAACUCAUACAGUUAAGGCAUUCCCACCUCCUUUGUACCAUCUCAUCAACAUGUUUCA